CAGAAAGAAUGUUUCCGAAGACGGUGGCAAUUUGUUUGACGUGAGCUCUUGGAAAAUUGACAUGGCCAUCAGGACCGUAAUGCAUAGCGAGAUCCUCUCCCCAGACUCCGCCGGUAGGAUGAAGUUUACUCGUGUCGUACAUCCACGAGGCGAACUGCAGGUCACAUGACUGCUCGUCAAACGGGAAAUACCGGAUAUCCAUGGGGCAUGCGCUGUGGAACAUGGCGGGAGCAAGCCAUAUCAUUGUGCCAUCCGCCUGCAUCUCAAUCUUCGUCUUGUACUGGAAGCCCCCCGCCAAGUCAUUCUUAGGAUCAGCGCUGUUGAAUGAGAAUACAUUGUGAAGAAAAGCACGAUAUCCGGGACCCACAGUCUGUCGGGCUCCACGUGUAGAGUAUUCACCCCGCCGAACUCGGACGCGUUCCACGAAAGGCUUGGGUUCACCCACUUCUAGAGUAUAAAAGAAAGUCAUGUUAACCUCCUCGAGACUGCCUUCUAACAGUAAGGCAAGUAGUCCAAAACAAACGUAUCUUUGGGAUAAAUACAGUAGAGCCCAGCUAGGGACACUUUGCUUAAAAUGAACUGUCUCCAAGGUCCCUUGCCUAAGAAGGACACCUCAUUAUAAAGAACUGUUUUAAAGGUCCCGAUAAAUAUUUUAAAGGACAAAGGACACGAAGGACACUGCUUAAAAAGAACUGUUUCCAAAGGUCCCUUGCCUAAGAAGGACAUCUCAUUAUAAAGAACUGUUUUAAAGGUCCCGAUAAAUAUUUCAAAGGACAAAGGACGGUAAGGACACUGCUUAAAAUGAACUGUUUCCUAAGGUCCCUUGCCUAAGAAGAACACCUCAUUUAUAAAGAACGGUUUCCAAGGUCCCGAUAAAAACAUAUUCAAAUGGUUUUAGUAAACUUUUAGCCACUUGAUAGAGACAUCAGUCGACGUCUGGCGUUGUGGUCAUAAGAUCCUCUUAAUAGAGUUUUAAGGAUCCCAACGCUGUCCUUAUUAAAUGGGUUUUCACUUUAUGAGGAUAUUGUGUGUCCAAACGGGUCCUUAUUAACAGGGUUCUAAAUGUGUGAUGACACUUUAGUGGGUCAGAACAAUGUCCUUUUCACAUGGGUUUUGUAUGAUGACAGUUAUUUGGGUCCGAACGUUGCCAUAUUAACAACUCUCUGAUGAGAACAGUUUUGUGGGAUCCAAUGAUCAACAGGGUGAUACUGUAUGAAAACACUGUUGAGGGUACCAACAGUGUCCUUAUUAACAGGGUUCAACUACUGUAUUUUUUAUUAUUCUGUUGAUUAUCGCAUUACUCACCUGUUUCAGAUACCAAUGUGCCAGAACCACGUUAUUUUUCUCGUCCUGACAAGAAUUACAACGUUAUUAGUUACGGAACUCUAUAGAUAUUUUAGGGGGAGCGGUAAGGCGGAGACGGUGAGGGGCGGGAAAAGGAACCCUAAAACAUUCCGCGCAAACGAAAUGUAUCCAUACUGUGUAGAAAUUUACGACAAAAGCGCUGCUACACACAAAUGGCGCACUAGUAUCCACUGACAAUAUAGUACUCAAAACUAGAAAACAUCCGGCCCCUAAUUGGUUCGAGUGACUCGAACAGACGAUCUCACCCAAGGUGCCACACUCACCACCGCCGCUAUGCGUCCGAGCUUAGCGCCAAAUGUUACCACCACGGGAUUGUUGCCUCCUGGAUGGAUGUCUCUGUCGUAGUUGGUGAAAAGGUAGCGUAGGAGUAUCUGUUGAUAACUUUGCUCCAUGCGAACGGCGCUUUCUGUGCCUAUGGGUAGAAAACAGCGACGUAUUCGUACCGUGCCUUUUCUAGGAAGUCUUAUAGCCAUAAGCUGCUAAUAAAAUUCGCCUUUGCUAAUGUAUUCUGGCACUGACCCUAAUUCUCAGCUUUCAGCCUCUUGGAAAAAAAUAAGAAACGACGGAAAGGGGGAAGAGGUUGUGAACUGACGCGGUUUCCCAUGGAACUGUACAACCUAUUUGAAAUAAGGUUACACUCGGGGGAUCCUAUGUGCCGUGGCUGUGCAAUAGGGGUAUCAAAUUAAUGAGCGGAUAGGAAUUAAAAAAUUUAGCAUUCUCGUUCAUAUGCCUAAAAACAUCCCCAUGUUUUUGACAGACCAGGAUUCAGCCUUUUGUUAUUAUUCAUUGUAAGUUACCCAUGAACCUAUGCGGGAUACGACAGAUGGAUUAGUGAGUGCCACCGUAUAUGAGAUAGGUGUGUACAAAAUGCCCGUAGCUGUGCCAACAAAUGUUACUUAGUUCUCGGGCUAUAGGCUACCCGGCUACGCCCUUUUAGAAUUCACCAACUGGGGGUCUAUCACAAAUCCUUCUUUCAAAUACGGAGAGUAGCGGGAAAAUGGCGGCUGAAUCGCGAUUUGCCUAAGUUAGCGACGACUCUUAACGGACUUUGUGCUAUCCCAGAAAAAGAAAAAAACAAAACAAAGGCAACCAGAUAUGGAAUGAGGAUUUUCAACGG